GACGAACGCUGGCGGCGUGCUUAACACAUGCAAGUCGAACGAUGAACUUGGAGCUUGCUCUGGGGGAUUAGUGGCGAACGGGUGAGUAACACGUGAGUAACCUGCCCUGGACUCUGGGAUAACUUCGAGAAAUCGGAGCUAAUACCGGAUAGGACCUUGCACCGCAUGGUGUGGGGUGGAAAGUUUUUCGGUUUGGGAUGGACUCGCGGCCUAUCAGCUUGUUGGUGAGGUAAUGGCUCACCAAGGCGUCGACGGGUAGCCGGCCUGAGAGGGUGACGGGCCACACUGGGACUGAGACACGGCCCAGACUCCUACGGGAGGCAGCAGUGGGGAAUAUUGCACAAUGGGCGCAAGCCUGAUGCAGCAACGCCGCGUGCGGGAUGACGGCCUUCGGGUUGUAAACCGCUUUUAGUAGGGAAGAAGCCUUCGGGUGACGGUACCUGCAGAAAAAGGACCGGCUAACAACGUGCCAGCCGCCGCCGUAAUAC
rnacentral:rRNA from 1 species